rnacentral:rRNA from 1 species
AUUGAACGCUGGCGGCAGGCUUAACACAUGCAAGUCGAGCGGGUUGAUGGUGCUUGCACUAUCACUUAGCGGCGGACGGGUGAGUAAUGCUUAGGAAUCUGCCUAUUAGUGGGGGACAACAUCUCGAAAGGGAUGCUAAUACCGCAUACGUCCUACGGGAGAAGGCAGGGGAUCACUUGUGACGUUGCGCUAAUAGAUGAGCCUAAGUCGGAUUAGCUAGUUGGUGGGGUAAAGGCCUACCAAGGCGACGAUCUGUAGCGGGUCUGAGAGGAUGAUCCGCCACACUGGGACUGGGACACGACCCAGACUCCUACGGGAGGCAGCAGUGGGGAAUAUUGGACAAUGGGGGAAACCCUGAUCCAGCCAUGCCGCGUGUGUGAAGAAGGCCUUAUGGUUGUAAAGCACUUUAAGCGAGGAGGAGGCUCUUUUGGUUAAUACCCAAGAUGAGUGGACGUUACUCGCAGAAUAAGCACCGGCUAACUCUGUGCCAGCCGCCGCGGUAA